ensembl:lncRNA
UAAGUACGAGAGAGCGCCGAAACAGCGCACACUGAAAAACUUUAAUGGGUUUUAUUUCAAGCAUUUGCGGCGGAAGAGCCAUCAAAAUUGUGCCCAGCGACAUGGAGCCACUCAUCGUCACUAAUCCCCGCCGGCGUUGCUAGUUUAUCUGCGUGGCUCAGCUGCUCGCGAGGGCGAGCACGGACGCCAUUUUGUGCCUAAAGUGCUAAAUGACAUCACAGUCCAUGUUAACCUUCAGGAGGCAUCGUACACUUAAAGGGAGGCUGAAUUUGCACGAGGGGAGAUUUAUUGUCUCUCGGCAAAUGGGCCGCAGUGCAAAACAAAGGCCGUUCGGCGGCGGCGGCGGCGUGGUCCCAUCUUUGGCUUCCCGUCAAGAGUCGGCAUCUGAAAUCGGGACGAUUCAUCACGUUGGCACGUGAAGAAUUAUGGAAGUCACCCCGAAGGAAAUGAAUCCGCGGCGUGGACGGCGGUCUGACAAAGGCGUCGGGAAGUCAGCGGUGAACGCAGGCCAGCGUGGUGGCAAAGCCGAGGGGGGAGAGUGGGGGGGGGGGGACCCGCCAAUUAUCAGGCUCGCCAUCUGAGGGCUAUUUCACUGCACGUUGAAAUAUUAAACCAAGCGCACACAUUGAAGCGCUCAGCGGAUUGUCCAAAGCAGCGCUGCUGAAGCGGGAGACAAUUAUCCACAUUUCUCCAUUAAUUACUGCGAGAGAGAAUUAUCUGCGUCGAUAUAGUGUGAACUUUUAUUUGUGUACACCUUCGGUCAGAGUGCAUUCUUUAAUUAUAAUAUAUAUAUAUGUGGGCAGACUUAAUGCAUUAACAUGCAUUAAUAUGUUUUUAUCAUCAGUGUAAUUCAGCUGAAUCACAUAAUCAUGUGGAGUUUUUACAAAUAAUUACUGGAACUGGAGUCCAAUAAAGUAGCAGGUUAGUUAAAUAUGAAUUAUUUUCAUGUGCAUCCACAGAUGUCAUGUUUCCAAGUGCAAUAAAACAGUACUUUUAUGUAUAUAUACAUACCAUAUAUUUUACUAAUAAGUGAUUCAACAAAGGCUUUAAGUCUUUGAAGAACUUCCAGGCUGUUUAAAAGGAUUUCCACUUUCUAAAUGUUUUUUUGACACAUGUGAAAAUGUGCAGUAUGAGUGAUUAUCUUUGCACGUUUUAGCAUGUUUGUUAUACUUGGUUGAAUCUCAGUUACACGAAAGUGAAAACCAUUACAAAUAACGCGCCGUGUUUACUAUAUUCUGCCUGUUUAUUGGUGCAUCGUUUCGCGGCUUAAGUGGAAUUCACAUUUAUGAAACAAUUUGAAACAAAAGCCUUUUGGUAUAAAUGCAUUUCCAUUAUUCCCGUCCAUGUGUGUUUUUCAUUCCCCUGCCCUGAUAACACAGCGUCGACAUUCACAAAGAGAACUCGUAUGCUAAUCCCGCUCCCCUCCGGUGGAUGAGCGGUAUGAUCACCAUAUUGGCAUGUGAAAAUAAUAUAGAUUGGGAACGUGAGAGGGAGACCAAGUGGAAAAUGAGAUGAUUGCUAAAGUAUGUUCUGCCCGAUGAACUGAAAUUGCAUUUGUCUAAGUGCUUGCAGCAGCCGGUCCGUAUAAACGUCUUGAUGUCGGAACUCUUUAAGGUGGACGUUGACGGGCGUUAUCCCCCAGGAGUGAAUGUAUUGUCAUGACGCACAUUCUCAUAGUCAGGUCUUUUUGUCCACCGUGUGCAGCUUAUUCCGCUCAUUCACUGCGUUUCCCAGCAGGCCUGAAGGCCCAGCGUGCACUGAGUGCCGCCUCGUGUUCCUGGUCUUUCAGGGCAGUCGGGGGGUUAAAAACAUUAAGUAAGAUAUUUACAGCUCAGCUGACCACUCGCUGUGGACAAUUUGCCCCCCCGUCCCCCCAAAGGACGUCAGGUCUCCUUCCUUCACAAAGCGAGUUCGCAGACGGACGGACAAACACUUUUUGGUCUUUUUGUGGAAUUUGUUGCUGAUAAGAAAAAGUUACUUCAGUGAGACGAUCCUUUUUAUUUAAAGGGGGACAACGACCGUAUUGUCUUUAAUGUCCUCAUUAGGACAUUCACGAAGACGUCUUUUUGGACACGUUGAUAUAUUCCCUGCACAGACGUAAUUGCAUUUGAUGGAAACGUGUUUCUAUGGAUCAUUAAAGAGGCAGAAGUUCCACUCUUCACAUUGUACAUAUCAGAAGCUAAUAUUUAGCCAACUCUGGUGCCUAAUUACAUCAUUGGCAGUUUCUUUCUACCGCAUAUAACCGAGACGGGACGCGGCGCUGUGACUGACGGCAGCUUUGUGGUCACACGCACGAGACGUAACGUGUCAUUUCCAAACAAACAGCGGCUUCUCUUACAGGUUUGGAUGCAGCUCAGCUCAGGUCGAGCCCCCCCGUACAACACCGGGGUGGUUAAAAACACACAACAGCGCCUUUUGUUCUGCGACUUCCUGCCCGGGCAAACACGCUCGGGGUUCAGGCUGCUGUUUUCGUUUAGCCGUUGCUCCUGGGGCAGUUUGUUCCCCCAGAUUUCAUCGGCCAUACGCUGCGAGAUGAUUUUGUGAAUGAAACCAUGCAUAUCCUCGCGGCCUUUAUGAUGGUAAUGAGUAGCAGCGGAGGAACAAUGGAGGGAGAAUGCUGGGAUUCAAUGGUGAUGCUUGUGGGGAAUGAAAGGAGGUGUGUGUGUCACUGAUGGGUGAAAACCUCCAAAAUGUCAAACAACAGCUUUCCCUUUGGCACGCCGGUGAAUCUCUUUGGACUUUAUCUUUCACUGUUGUCAUUAACCGCCAAUAAAGGAGGUUGUCAAUUGAUACACUUUUGGAAAAGUGAGGAAUGUAUGUUAAUAAAACGUGGUGUAAGUGUGUGCAAGCGUGCAGAUUUGUUUGUGCAUCUGCAUGUGUGCGUCAGAGUUCAGAGGUCAUCAUCAGGUCCCCCCCAUUCUCCUGUAACACCCCCUUAAUGCCCAUCUGCCAAAGCAAACCUUCCUUCCUCCAUGGCGCGUACCACGUCUCCCAGUGCACAGCAGAAGAUGUAACAACACACAACACGUCUGGCACCGGUCCCCUUCGCCAUGGCAACGGCAAGCAAGGAGAAAUGUCCUCACAGUGCCGGGUAGAGCCAGACAGGGAGAUGGAUGCUGGGAGUUGGCAGGAAAUCAAGAAUGAAAAACGUUCCGGCCGCCCGCCCCCCCCCUAACAAACAGCUCUGACAAUUAGGAUGAAAAAUAAGCCUGCUGUCAAACGGGGGGACAAGGGGGGGGGGGGUCGACUGUCCUCAGCCGUGGCCCGGACCGGCCCGACCUCCUCACAUCACUUCUUUAAAUGAAUCCCGGUCGCUCCAGAGGAAAGGAGGGCGCGGCGAGGCGGAGUAACCCUGGGGUACAGGAAGCCUUUCACUUUGCUCGUCCAAACAUUAUUUUACAUUUGAGGAAAGGUAGUUUGGAAGAAACUCAAGGGAAGAAUAUCAGCAGUGUGAAAAGGACAAGGACGUCCCAUAAACGCCCCCACUGCGUGAUUGACAGGUGGUGGCUGGCACAAGCAGUGCUCAAACACCACGGCGAGAAAGAGGGAAUAUCAAUCAUAACCCACAUUAACGGAUCUGAUUCUCCUUCGUUAUAUAUUGAGUAUCUUUGGCUCUUGACUAAACGAAUCCUUGAUUAAUCAUCAGAAUAAAUGACAACUGACCACAGCAGCUCGCGUGCGUGUGUGUGUGUGUGUGAAUGGAUUUUUUAAGAAGUGCAGAAGUAAAAGUGUUUCUCUCGAUAUGAAAGUGUACGAUCGAGACAUCUGGCAGAGCUCCUUCCAGCAGACGGCUUUCCCCCUGUGACACCGAGGGAGGGGGGCGCCGCUUUAAUCGUUAUGUGAUUGCUUGAGCAUGUUACAGCAUGUAAGUGCACAGACACGGACCACACUGGCAGAAAGGCGCACACACACACAGACCGGUAUGCACACACACACACACGCAUGCUUGCAGGUGUUCACGCAUGUACUGUAUGUGAAGGCUUGUGCAUGUGGCGGAAAGUUUCAACAGCUCUCACUGACUGAUUAGACUGAUUUCACCACGUCAAGGAUUAGCCGUUCACCAAGAUGUAGAUCCAGCUACUACGAGCAUGUGGUGGCGAUGGAGUUCACACCAACGUAUUAUUACUAAAAUAUACACCAAACAUAAGCCACUGAGUGUAGAAUCUGUGCCUCGAUGUGUGUGUGUGUGUGCAGCGUCGGUAUCAGCGGAGGGCUGAAAGAGGGCUUUGCUAAUCCCUCACAGUAGGUCAACCACUCAAGGAACUGCUACCAUUAUCGGCUUUAGCUUCAUUUUACUAAAUUGCCACAUCCCUGUUGUGUGUUAAUGGGCUAAUUUCUACCGACACUGAGCAAAGGAUACAAUCAAUGAUAUGGUUUUAUAAGGAGGCUUAAUCAGAUAACAACUUUGUUCUAGCCGGUAAUUAGAAACAGGAGUCAAGCUGGAAGAGGAGAGCAGACCUUUCUCAGCCUGUGCCCCGGUGCACCGUGGGAAUGCAGGUCGGAGGUCAAUUUCAAAAUUAGUUAAGCUUGACGGGCUGCCGCUGACCUGCACAGGUGCUCCCACUUCCCCUGCUGCUCUGCACUUCCUCCCGCCACCCCGGGGGUCACAGACGUCGGGGCCCCGGCCUCCCUGCCCUCCCCCGUCCUCACCCCCCUUCACCUCGCUCCCCACGACUAGUUUGGAUCUAUUAGCAGAACCAGGAUAAACCCCCGGGCCUGCUGAGAAGGCCAAAGACCACAUCGGGCCAACGCUUACUCAGGCCCAGCAGAAGACCACAUCGGGCCAACGCUAAGCUUACACAGGCCCAGCAGAAGACCACAUCGGGCUAACGCUAAGCUUACGCAGGCCCAGCAGAAGACCACAUCGGGCUAACGCUAAGCUUACACAGGCCCAGCAGAAGACCACAUCGGGCUAACGCUAAGCUUACGCAGGCCCAGCAGAAGACCACAUCGGGCUAACGCUAAGCUUACGCAGGCCCAGCAGAAGACCACAUCGGGCUAACGCUAAGCUUACGCAGGCCCAGCAGAAGACCACAUCGGACUAACGCUAAGCUUACGCAGGCCCAGCAGAAGACCACAUCGGACUAACGCUAAGCUUACGGAGGCCCAGCAGAAGACCACAUCGGGCUAACGCUAAGCUUACGGAGGCCCAGCAGAAGACCACAUAGCUCACUGAAGUCACGCAAUCCUCUCCUGUAGGAUCUCAGACGUGAAAUAUCAACUUUAAGAGUUCAAUCUGCUUCCACACACAAACAUGGAAACAAACUCCCCUCCCUCGCUUCCCUUCACCUCGUCUCGGUUCGCCGUCUGUACGCUCAGUAUGUUUUUGGAAAAGGAAAGGGGGGGGGGCGGUUGUUAUUGGCGCGUCCUACCGAGAGAAGAGAAGCUAUACGGCCGUUGUUUUUGAGCCCCGCUGCGGUGUGGCCUCCUGCUGCUUGGCCUGCCAUGUGUAAUUAAACAUUUGGCCUCCACAAUUACUCAGCAGUGUACACUUGCCCGUGUCGGGCUCUGCAGAAUAUGCAUUUCAAAGAGCAUCGAUUCCCUCCAAAGUGCUGAAACUGACAGAAGCAAGGGGAGAACCUUUGUGGUGGGGCAGGGGGAGUAGAGGGAGGAACGAGGAGGAAGGGGAGGGUGAGAUCUGGCUGGUCCGCAGGGAUGGACUGAUUAGAAAAUAAAUGAAGCUUGAAGUACACUGUGUGGCAGGUACGGGCAACAGCAUGCAGACAACCUCCGUCUGUCCCCUUUGAUUCAUGGAAGAAUAGAAAUGUGUCACGUCCGAAUGCCACUUUUCCAGCAUUGAUUUUUCUUACUUAUGUAGGAACAAACACGCCUGUAAAGCUUCACAGCAGCACCACACAGGGAGACGAGCUGCCCAUAUGGAUUACAUGACUUAUUAGGAUUCCGGCGUCUGUUGAUGUCACUGCAGCCACAUGGCCCAGGUGGGAACCCCGAAGCAGUGGAACAUCUCAACAUCACGACCAUCUUGGUGCCGCCUCCGGCCUUCUGUUUACCUGCCUGACAGUAAUGAAAUUCACCCACAUCGGCUCACAAUUUAUGCAGGUACAUGCAUUAACAUUUGACAUUGCCUGUGCACGGGUGAAAAGGUUCUAGGUUGUAACCUGCCACUAAGGGAAAUAAAUAAAUAGCAGAAAACAAUCAAAGAGCCACUUUGUGUGGAAUGAAACUUUGCUGUGGACUACAAGACAUUAAGUUCAACAACCAGAAAGCAACUCUUUUGGAUUCUGUUUUCAGAAAAUAUUUUUAAACCUGACCUUCAGGAACAUUGACAGUGCCGUCACACGCCCUCCACCCGGUUGUAACCGAGUAGGAGCCUCCCGGAGACACCAAAGCUGGCGCUGAAAUGACAAACCAGCAGCUCAGGCACGCAGACACACACACGACACCCGCUGCAGGCACCGGGUCGUCACUCGAGGAGCAUCCGGCUGUCACUCAGACUCCCUGAGACUCCCCUUUCCUUCCCCUCCGGUGUGCCAAGACAUCUGCCACGUUUCUCUUAUUGAUAUGUUGUUUUUUUUAGUCUCAAGUCAGUGCAAUAAGGCGAGAAGCCGGGGACCAACGGAGCGAGAAGCAAGGUAGGGCUGUGUGUGUGUGUGUGUGUGUCUGUGUGUGUGUGUGUGUGUGCGCGAGACUAAAACUAAGCUGCACACUCCCAAAAAAAACAAAAAUAAACCCGGCACACAAACACUCGUCCUCUGGAGCUCCCCGAGAACAAUGUGGAUUUUAAGAGAGCGCUGAAAGGUAGCAGCACAUCACGGAGGCGCUGGCGGCACCACCUGCCUGUGAGGCCCCGGCGUCCCCUCGUGAGCCAUAGAGGUGCCUGUGUCCAUGUCCCCCUAUUGUGGCGUGGACUGGAGGGGGUAUUGUGAACCUUGUCAACGGCGCUGCCAUCUCUGUGCCAGCUGGCCGGGUGUGAGUGGCGAAAGGGGCGUGGGAGGGAAGGGGGGGGGGGGGGGGGGAGGCGAACAAUGCAGAGAGCUGUGCACAAUGGCCGGCCGUGGCCCGCGGAAAGGCGGCAUUGUUCCCGCCCGCGAUCGGUCAUGCCGGCGGACUCGCCGACCACGACUCACGAGCAGCAGCGCCCUGCAGAGGGAGGACGUUUUACCCAGAAGCACCGGUUCGUACUGGAGACGUCGGUGCGUAAGGUGCCGCCGCAUUUUCUCCCACAUGUGGUACAUCACACACACACACACACACACACACACAAAGACACCCCCUUCGCCCCGCAGCCUGAGCGAGCUCCAAUGUCCCUCUUUUGAAAUCAAAGAGUGAAGGGGAGGGAGGGGCGGCUUCGAGGCAACGUCUGGAAUCCAUCUGAGAUUGAGAAAUCCAACCGCCGUGGUUGGAUCCAAUUGAAUGAGGCAGGCCUGAGUAACGCGCUCCGACACGGCCUUUCUCUCCCUCCAACACCCCGGCCAUGUGGUCCCGGGGCUCUGCCAGCCAAGCAUGUCACAGCCCAUCACAGUUGUAAAUGAAUAUUCAUGCGGCGGAGGGCGCCUGUGUGCGAAGUACUUAUGUGUGGGGCCGUUUUUUUAGUGCGACGAAGAUGGAAAAAAAAAAAAAAAGUGUGCGUACAGCGAGUUUGCCCCCCCCCCCCCCCUGUUCCUCGUCCACACCCCCGGGCACCGCGGCUUUUGCAGGGCGUAAGUAAGACUCGGCGUUGGCUGGGAGGCGAGGUCUCACGCGCGGCCUGGAUGCAGAAACGCGCGCGCGGGCCGCCAGCACUCCACAGAUGUCCUGGCUGUUGCUGGAUGUGAGGCGGCGCGGGCCGAGCUCCCUUCCAUGGCGAGCGCUGGCGCGAGGUUUGAGCGGGUGUGAGGAUCGGGGGGGAUGGGGGAAGAAAUUCAACAAAAAAAAAAGGCAAGUGCAAAGUCGCGCGAGGCUCCCAGGAUACCCGCGUGGCCAGAUCGGCCCCUGACCUCUCAAACGACAGCAGGACCGGGAGAGGGACGCGCCGCGAAGACGCGUCGGUCGCAGUGUGGGACUUGUUCUCGCCCCAAAAAAAACAAAAGCACCAGCGACUCUGACGCCGCCGAGCUAGCUGUUCCCACGGCGACUACGAUUAGCAUUGCGCGUGGCAUCGAGCGUGAUCGCGGCGCGUGAUAUUUGCCACAGGCCGGAGUCGCGCGUUUCACCACGUGGAAGUUCAGCUGUAGAAGAACUUCUCAGAACUUCUAAAACAAUGCCUGAAGAGAAGCCUCAGAUGACAUAAAUGCAUCUCAGCGAGGAUUGUCCUCACCCUCUAGUCUCUUUACUGCGCUUUAGGAGGCAUACACUACUAAGAUAAUGAUGCUUAUGACAAUAGAGUAAUUGCCCAUGGCAUUCUCUCUUGGGCAAUUGAUUUUUGAUGAGCUAUGCAGGAUUCACUUGUGUAGAUAUGCAGGUCAGCAGUUCUUAAAAGGACAUUUUAGAGCCUUUUCCCUUUUCUUGUUUUGGACGUUUCAGUGAUCCGCCAACAGGUGUUCUCACUUAUUCUGGCUGAUGAGAGCCGACUUGCUCAAUGUUGUGUUGGAGAUAAGAGAACUUCCACCUUCCUCGCUGCUUAUUCUGACCUCAGGCCACAGCUUUUGUUGCAAGAAAACAAAAUAGCUUGAGCACCGAAAGCAAUGUGUACCAAUUUAGACCCUUGAACGCGUAUUUAAGGUAGUUGAAUUAGUGAAAAUAAAGGCUUUUAAAGCCUCGGUCAGAAGGGAGGUUUGAUCUCGAUAAGCUGCGUCGUGCGGACUCUCAGCGAAUGGAAGCUUACAGGCAUUCAGUACCUUGAUGUGCUGGUUAUACCUCAGAUAAAAUGCAGUAAGUAUGUGAGAGACGCGGCUUGGAGUCUUUUCCUUAUUUGAGAGGCAACGAUAAAAACGAGUUGAAUUAAGACGAUUUUACGCAGAGCAAACAUAAUAUUUUCAUCUAACCGGAGGCCUCGUAGAAUGAAAUGAACGCUGUCGGUAUUCUAGAUGCCAACUCAAAUCAUCAGAUUUGAUGGUUAUAUCCAUACAGACGGAUAUUUUGGUUAUCAAGCCAUUAGCUUAUAGAGCUUAUAAAAAAAAAAAAAUGAAAAGACCUGUGAUUGGGGACUUUUAUGUUGCUGUCAUCAGAGCCGUUGCCCUGGUUACAAGGCGCUCGGCAGAGGGUGAGCAGGAGGACUGACGAGCCGGGUCUACAGGUGUCAGUGUGAUUAAUUGUACCAGGGAGGAGAAUUAGCAGUCUGCUAAUCAGGUCGACCAAACGAGGAGCGGAAACUCAGUUUUUAAAAGUGUUUAAAAGUUUUUCUUACAAUCACAGCCCGCUGCAGCCGCAGAGGGAAGCGCGUUAAUAGCUCGUAAGUCCGUCCCCGAGGAGCAGAUCCUCCCCCGGGGGGGGCGCUCUGUGUUUGGAGAGUGCCAGCUCACAUUUUGCAGUAUAUCUCCGUCAAUGCGUGACUCCCGACGAGAGCCCAGUCC